rnacentral:rRNA from 1 species
CACAAGCGGUGGAGCAUGUGGUUAAUUCGAUGCAACGCGAAGAACCUUACCUGGUCUUGACAUCCACGGGAGUUUUCAGAGAUGAGAAUGUGCCUUCGGGAACCGUGAGACAGGUGCUGCAUGGCUGUCGUCAGCUCGUGUUGUGAAAUGUUGGGUUAAGUCCCGCAACGAGCGCAACCCUUAUCCUUUGUUGCCAGCGGUCCGGCCGGGAACUCAAAGGAGACUGCCAGUGAUAAACUGGAGGAAGGUGGGAUGACGUCAAGUCAUCAUGGCCCUUACGACCAGGGCUACACACGUGCUACAAUGGCGCAUACAAAGAGAAGCGACCUCGCGAGAGCAAGCGGACCUCAUAAAGUGCGUCGUAGUCCGGAUUGGAGUCUGCAACUCGACUCCAUGAAGUCGGAAUCGCUAGUAAUCGCGGAUCAGAACGCCGCGGUGAAUACGUUCUCGGGGUUU